UCAGAGCUUCCUGUAUAAGGCGCUAGGAAUGUCCUUAGCAGUUUGUGAGGACCUGGUCCAUGUGAAAUCACAGAUUCAUACACUUCUGACAACAACAGAUUAUAUGGAAGCCCCUGAGAGACAGGGAGUCAUUUCCAUCCUCGCAGUCUGUGCUGACCGCCACUUGGACCUCACCUUGAACGCACUUCAGGAGUUUGGGGCUGCAAUGAGCAAGGUUAAGAUUUCUGGGUUCAUCAGCCACCUGAAAGACUACCACCAUGGGACAAGAGGCAAGACUCGCAGCACCCUGAUGCUGACAUACAG